GAUGAACGCUGGCGGCGUGCCUAAUACAUGCAAGUCGAGCGAACGGACGAGAAGCUUGCUUUUCUGAUGUUAGCGGCGGACGGGUGAGUAACACGUGGAUAACCUACCUAUAAGACUGGGAUAACUUCGGGAAACCGGAGCUAAUACCGGAUAAUAUUUUUAACCGCAUGGUUCAAUAGUGAAAGACGGUCUUGCUGUCACUUAUAGAUGGAUCCGCGCUGCAUUAGCUAGUUGGUAAGGUAACGGCUUACCAAGGCAACGAUGCAUAGCCGACCUGAGAGGGUGAUCGGCCACACUGGAACUGAGACACGGUCCAGACUCCUACGGGAGGCAGCAGUAGGGAAUCUUCCGCAAUGGGCGAAAGCCUGACGGAGCAACGCCGCGUGAGUGAUGAAGGUCUUCGGAUCGUAAAACUCUGUUAUUAGGGAAGAACAUAUGUGUAAGUAACUGUGCACAUCUUGACGGUACCUAAUCAGAAAGCCACGGCUAACUACGUG
rnacentral:rRNA from 1 species